rnacentral:rRNA from 1 species
GUAGGUGGCAAGCGUUGUCCGGAAUUAUUGGGCGUAAAGCGCGCGCAGGCGGUCCUUUAAGUCUGAUGUGAAAGCCCACGGCUCAACCGUGGAGGGUCAUUGGAAACUGGGGGACUUGAGUACAGAAGAGGAAAGCGGAAUUCCAAGUGUAGCGGUGAAGUGCGUAGAGAUUUGGAGGAACACCAGUGGCGAAGGCGGCUUUCUGGUCUGUAACUGACGCUGAGGCGCGAAAGCGUGGGGAGCAAACAGGGAUUAGAUACCCUGGUAGUCCACGCCGUAAACGAUGAGUGCUAAGUGUUAGGGGGUUUCCCGCCCCUUAGUGCUGCAGCUAACGCAUUAAGCACUCCGCCUGGGGAGUACGGCCGCAAGGCUG